CCUACGGGAGGCUGCAAUGAGGAAUAUUGGUCAAUGGACGAGAGUCUGAACCAGCCAAGUAGCGUGAAGGAUGACUGCCCUAUGGGUUGUAAACUUCUUUUAUAUGGGAAUAAAAUGUUCCACGUGUGGGAUUUUGUAUGUACCAUAUGAAUAAGGAUCGGCUAACUCCGUGCCAGCAGCCGCGGUAAUACGGAGGAUCCGAGCGUUAUCCGGAUUUAUUGGGUUUAAAGGGAGCGUAGGUGGAUUGUUAAGUCAGUUGUGAAAGUUUGCGGCUCAACCGUAAAAUUGCAGUUGAAACUGGCAGUCUUGAGUACAGUAGAGGUGGGCGGAAUUCGUGGUGUAGCGGUGAAAUGCUUAGAUAUCACGAAGAACUCCGAUUGCGAAGGCAGUUCACUGGACUGCAACUGACACUGAGGCUCGAAAGUGUGGGUAUCAAACAGGAUUAGAUACCCGAGUAGUC
rnacentral:rRNA from 1 species